GAGCACUUGGCUCAAUGGUAGAGCGUUCGACUAAAUAACAAAGGUCUUUGGUUCGAAUCCCAGGUGUUCC
rnacentral:tRNA from 1 species